GAAUUGAGGAACUUAUUCAUACAAUAAAUGGGAAUCCAGCUUUAUGUCCAAAUAUCACAGUUCAGAAACCUUUUCUCCGGCUUUCAAAAGAAGGAGUUUCCUUCUACACAGCAAUUACAUCAGAUAAGACAGAUGUUUGGAAAGAACAAACAUUAUUAUGUCUUCUUCAAUUGAUUCACCUUCCAUUCUUGGACAAUAUUUUGGAGCCUCCAGUUAAAACACAAAAUCUUCAACUAAACAAAGAGGAAGAUCUUGUUAUCACUAACACUUGCCUAGACAGAGAACUUAUUCCAAGCUUAUGUCUACCUGAAAAAUGAGAAAAGAGCAGAAGCACUUGAAGCAACACAACUAUAUCUAAGAUUGCUGUUGCUGAACAUUAGAGAAGAAUU
rnacentral:lncRNA from 10 species